UUUUUUUUUUUUUUUUUUUUUGCGAACAUUUAGAAAUGUGAAAACCACUCUUUGCUUGAGGACCACACAAAAACUGGCAACAUGUGGGAUUUGGCCCACAGACUAUAGUUUACCCACUACUGCCCUAGAUUUAAACUCAGGCCUAUUUAUUUAUAAAGAUUUUAUUUAUUUAUUCAUGAGAGACACAGAGAGAGAGGCAGAGACAGGCAGAGGGAGAAUCAGGCUUCAUGUAGGAAGCCCGAUGUGGGACUCAAUACCAGAACUCUGGGAUCAUGCCCUGAGCCUAAGGCAGACACUGAGCCAACCAGGCCUCCCAAACACAGUCCUUUUUAAAAAUUAUGACUUUAACUUCUGUUAUCCCUCCCUGGAUGGAGUUGUAUUUUCAGCCUAAUUCUUCAAAGUAGGAAAAAAUGUGGUCUUCUAGGCAUUUCAAGCAUUACCAACCAGCGUGGUUUUGAAAAGGAGAUCCUGAGAUAUCACAUUGCUAUGGAAAGUCACUUGCUCUUCUCACCCUGAGGACUGUCUUCCACUAAUGUCUCAGAAAGAAACCAAAGCCAGAGAGGGGGCAGGCAUCAGAGAAAGCACAAUCUCUAUGUCAGAACCGAGAAUUUGAUUCAGUUUGUCCUUCGUCUAUUUCCACUUCCAAUGCCUUUUUCUGUUCUUUUCUAGAGCCACCUGUCCCCAAAGCACCUCUCACCCCCUAGCAGUAUCAUGUUACUUGAUUAUUCUUAUCACAACCAAAGCAAAUGAAUAACUAAUUUGUGCUAUCUCUUCUCAGAAUCUGUUUAAGACAAGACUUCAGAGGAAAGAGAAUCUUGAAUCAUGGGUUUCAUUUUAGGUCAAAGCACAGAGCAAGUCUUACAUGUAAGAGUCUACCUCCUGCAACACUGACCCUUCUGCCAUAGCCCCAUUCCAGGGUGGACUGAAACCAUUCCAUCAUUUCCACUGGACCCUCCUCUCUUGGAAUUGUAGUAAUAUGUCAAGUGGAGGACCCAGUCAGGGACUGGGUUGAGAAAGCAUCCAGUUGACAAACCCUAAGAUGGAUGUUUUUCCUAAGAUAAAGGUUCUGAACACUGGCUAUGCAUGAGGACUACCUACAAAACUUUAGAAAAAUGUGCCUGAGCCCCACCUGAGCAUGAUCAGAUGGUUUUCCAGGGUUUAGAAUCACUGCCCAGUUCUCAUUUCCCCGCAGGGCCUAUCACCGGGACAUAAUUUCCCUCUACUACAUUCAAAUCCUGACUAAAGGCUAAUUGAAGGAAUCCCUUUUAGGAUCCCUGAAUUACCUUAGAAUCUACCAGUUAUAUUUAAAUUUGGGGGGAAUUUCUGAAAGGCUUGGUGUGUUACAUAAUGAAUAGUAUGAGCAUCACACCAAGCAUGCAUCACCAAAAAAGCAUUUUUACUUUCUUAAAGUGGUUGUUGACAGAAGACUUAGGUCUCUAAAUGUAAGAAAGCUGACGAUAUGCUUGAGAACCGUCCACAAUGAAAAUCUUAACAAUUCAAGGACUAGAUAUAUAUUGCGAGUAUUAGUAGACUGGAGAUAUGUGGUAAUGAAGAAAAUAGUGUGAAGAAAUAAUUUGGGGCUUAUUAUGUACUAACCUAUUCGUUUUCUUGACAAAAGGGGAAAAGUUAGAUAAAUGAAGAAUAAAGUUGGUCGAUUAGGGUUUCUACAAUACUUUUGUUUGGAGAUCCUUGGGUUAUUUCUAUUGUCAUUUAUUGAACUUAAGUUUACAGUUUUUACGUUUAAAUUAUUUAUUUCUUUGGAGGCAUUUUGCCUCUAGUGACUCCCAUGUGUACUGGAUCUUCAUCUUGUACAGCCAAAGUUGAGAACCAAUGGAAUAGAAAGGACAAUGGCAGAGGACUCAAGGUAUUUCUCCCACACCUGGCUUUAAAUGAGGGUUUUAAGAUGUACAAAGGUAUCAUGUUACUAAAGUGGGACCAGUGGUUGUGUUGUUACCUUAUUUUCCUAGUGGUUAAGGAAAAUGUGGGGCUUUUCGGGAUGUGGUGCCCUAAAGCAUACAGUUUACAAGAAUUAGGAGUACAGAAUAAGUCUUGAUAGAGGAGGAUAAUGCAACUCAGUAGCAUGUCGUUGGUAUGAUGACUUCUUCCCUUCACUGUGAGGAACAUACCUGCAAGCCACCUGCAGGAAAGGCUAUGAGUCAUACUGCUGAAGGCAGCCCUCUUCACAUUCUACAAGUGCAAUUAUUUUUUAAAAAUCUAAAUGACAUAAGCCAUCCUUGGGUAAAUAUGGAGAAGAAAAGAUGACAGAAGAGGAUUUACAUUACCUUCAGAUAAUUUCUUAAGUGAGAAAUUUAGCAUACUUUUCUUGGUUACUUUGUGGAAGGACUCUAUGUAUUAAGUUGAUUUGAAACUCUCAUGCAUGGACACAAGCACACAUAUUUCUCCUAUUUGUAACCCAUAUAAAAAGGAUCCUCUUGUGUAGAACUAAUGAUAUUUUUUAGUGACAAAUAGAACAAAAUGGAACAAGAGCCCUAAUAGAUACUUACUCAUAGAUAUUCCCUACAGCAGGUAGUGGGUGGGAAAUUACUGGCAGCAGGAUAGGUUUCAUUUGGGAUUCUUGUUUUCUACUUUUGGUUUAGCAAGUAUUUGUUGAUUUGAUUUGAAUGGAAUUUAUUCUAAUUUCUAAGGCUUACCUUGAAAGAUGACAUACUGUGAGUAACAACAGCAUAUAAAACAGCCUUUUCCAGAAGAAGCUGACUCCAGCCUCACUCUAGAACUUUCGUGUCAAACAUUGGAAAGCUUUUCCUUGUGUGGGUUCUGCUUACAUAUUCAAAGUCUCCCAGUUUAGCUAGUUCUACAGCUGCCAAAUGAGGAAUGGACUAGAUAGCCCAUGUGGAAGGCAGCUAUUACCUUGUGCAUAGCAGACAGCACUCACUUCUGUUGGAGUAAACAGCCCAUGGUCCAGUUUCUCCAGGCAGUGGAAGACAAGAGUGGGUUUGGUCUGAGUUCAGUGGGAAGCCAUGGGAGAGGCUCCUUUGAAGAUGAAAGGAAGAUGAUGGGAUUCCUGCUCUCAUUUGUGAGAGAAAAAGAGUCAAAGUAUUGAUUCCCAGAAUUAAGACCUAAGAAACUCAUGAAAAAAAGCCAAUUCAGGCAUGACUAUUGCCUUUUGUCUACCUUGUAAGUUCCUGAUUGAGCUGAACAAUGUCAGGUAAAUACCUGGGUGGCAGAAUAAAGUAAUUGAUUUACAAACGAGAAUGUGAUAGGUUAACACAUAGCUGAAAAAGUGAGAGAACCUGAGAAUGUAACUGAGUAACAAUAUUUGGCAUAUAAAAGAAGUCAGGCCUGGUUUAUAUGAGGUCAGGCCCAUGGUCCUCAGUAGGCUACUCAUUACAUUUGAUUCAGUUAAGUCUGAAAAGAUGUGAGGUGUGUCUGAACUCUCUGUUUGAACAUCCAGAAGGGAGUACUAAAGGCGAAAACACAGUUUGAAGAGAUUGUACAAGCAUGAGAAUCAGAAUCAGAUAUGAUGGAAAUGUUGGAAGUUAUCAGACCAAGAAUUCUUUUAAACUUUGAUUAAUAUGCUAAGGCAAAGGUAGACAACAGGCAAGAUCAGAUAGAUAAUGUAAGCAGAGAUAUGGAAAUUCUUUUUGUUUUCUUUAAGAUUUUAUUUUUGAGUGAUCUCCACAUCCAACGUGGGGUUUGAACUCACA
rnacentral:lncRNA from 1 species